AACGUACGCUGGCGGCACGCCUAACACAUGCAAGUCGAACGAAGUAGCAAUACUUAGUGGCAGACGGGUGAGUAACAUGUGGGUAUCUGCCCUUUGGCCUGGAAUAACACGAGGAAACUUGUGCUAAUACCGGAUAAGUCUUUACGGAGAAAGCUUUAUGCACCAUUGGAUGAGCCCGCACUUGAUUAGUUUGUUGGUGGGGUAAUGGCCUACCAAGACUGUGAUCAAUAGCUGAUUUGAGAGGAUGAUCAGCCACAUUGGGACUGAGACACGGCCCAAACUCCUACGGGAGGCAGCAGUGGGGAAUCUUGCACAAUGGAGGAAACUCUGAUGCAGCGAUGCCGCGUGAGUGAAGAAGGCCCUUGGGUUGUAAAGCUCUUUCGUCGGGGAAGAAAAUGACUGUACCCGAAUAAGAAGGUCCGGCUAACUUCGUGCCAGCAGCCGCGGUAAUACGAAGGGACCUAGCGUAGUUCGGAAUUACUGGGCUUAAAGAGUUCGUAGGUGGUUGAAAAAGUUAGUGGUGAAAUCCCAGAGCUUAACUCUGGAACUGCCAUUAAAACUUUUCAGCUAGAGUAUGAUAGAGGAAAGCAGAAUUUCUAGUGUAGAGGUGAAAUUCGUAGAUAUUAGAAAGAAUACCAAUUGCGAAGGCAGCUUUCUGGAUCAUUACUGACACUGAGGAACGAAAGCAUGGGUAGCGAAGAGGAUUAGAUACCCUCGUAGUCCAUGCCGUAAACGAUGUGUGUUAGACGUUGGAAAUUUAUUUUCAGUGUCGCAGCGAAAGCGAUAAACACACCGCCUGGGGAGUACGACCGCAAGGUUAAAACUCAAAUGAAUUGACGGGGACCCGCACAAGUAGUGGAGCAUGUGGUUUAAUUCGAAGAUACGCGCAGAACCUUACCAACACUUGACAUGUUCGUCGCGACUCUAAGAGAUUAGAGUUUUCGGUUCGGCCGGACGAAACACAGGUGCUGCAUGGCUGCCGUCAGCUCGUGUCGUGAGAUGUUGGGUUAAGUCCCGCAACGAGCGCAACCCUCACUUUUAGUUGCCAUCAUUAAGUUGGGCACUCUGAAAGAACUGCCAGUGAUAAGCUGGAGGAAGGUGGGGAUGACGUCAAGUCCUCAUGGCCCUUACGUGUUGGGCUACACACGUGCUACAAUGGUAUCUACAACAGGAAGCAAGACUGCGAGGUCAAGCAAAUCCUUAAAAGAUACCUCAGUUCGGAUUGCACUCUGCAACUCGAGUGCAUGAAGCUGGAAUUACUAGUAAUCGUGGAUCAGCGUGCCACGGUGAAUGCGUUCCCGGGUCU
rnacentral:rRNA from 1 species